rnacentral:antisense_RNA from 1 species
CUUGAUCGACCCGAGCCAGAGCGGCUGGUCGGCCGCGCGGUCCUGCCCGUACGUGGCAAGCAGCGCCUGCGCCUC